GGGUGACUGCGUACCUUUUGUAUAAUGGGUCAGCGACUUAUAUUCUGUAGCAAGGUUAACCGAAUAGGGGAGCCGAAGGGAAACCGAGUCUUAACUGGGCGUUAAGUUGCAGGGUAUAGACCCGAAACCCGGUGAUCUAGCCAUGGGCAGGUUGAAGGUUGGGUAACACUAACUGGAGGACCGAACCGACUAAUGUUGAAAAAUUAGCGGAUGACUUGUGGCUGGGGGUGAAAGGCCAAUCAAACCGGGAGAUAGCUGGUUCUCCCCGAAAGCUAUUUAGGUAGCGCCUCGUGAAUUCAUCUCCGGGGGUAGAGCACUGUUUCGGCAAGGGGGUCAUCCCGACUUACCAACCCGAUGCAAACUGCGAAUACCGGAGAAUGUUAUCACGGGAGACACACGGCGGGUGCUAACGUCCGUCGUGAAGAGGGAAACAACCCAGACCGCCAGCUAAGGUCCCAAAGUCAUGGUUAAGUGGGAAACGAUGUGGGAAGGCCCAGACAGCCAGGAUGUUGGCUUAGAAGCAGCCAUCAUUUAAAGAAAGCGUAAUAGCUCACUGGUCGAGUCGGCCUGCGCGGAAGAUGUAACGGGGCUAAACCAUG
rnacentral:rRNA from 1 species